GUUUCAGUAACCUAACCUAACGUAGUCGCGUGUACAAACUUAAAGUGACGUAAAAUUAGUUUUUUUCGAAAUAACCAUAAACAAGCGAUUGCGAGCCAAAAUAAAAAAAAAUUGACUCUUUUUACAAUUUUUUGCGCGUACAUUUCAUCAAUAAUACAUCUUAUAAUGCAUACAAAGUAUUGUAACUAACAAAUAAUUCUAUCAUUCUGAAAAUAUAAAUUACAGUGUUUUUUUAAAGAAAAUGGUUUUUCGAGGUGCAAGUGGUAUGGCAAGAGAAAUGACAAACCAGCCUAUCAAGGACAAGGAGUUUUAUUUGAACAGUGGAAACCUAUUUAGUGAUAAGAUAUGUUAGGAAGAUGAUGGUCAAUCCAAAUCCGGAUGAAGAAAAAAUAUCAAACAUCCGGAUCAAGCUGACCGACGCUUAUUCGUUCAGGGAUUACCUGAAAAACGAAAACGAAAAUUUGAGGGCAAUAAUUAUGACCAACAAUAGCAUUUCGGUGGAGGAGAAAUAAUAUUUUAUUACAUUGGCAACAGAUCGCAGAAAAUCUACAGACUAUAAUAGUGGUAUUUAAGUUAUAAUUAUCAAUAAGUUUUCAUAUAUUUAGUACAAAUAUUAUUUGUUUAAAACCCACAAAUGAGUACAGGUUACAUGCAUGACGCUGUAUUAAUAAUUUUGUUUGUGUAAUAUUAUUUUUUAGAUUCUUUCAAAUUGGUCGAACGGUAGUAAACAUUUUUUCACUAAAAUUGUCUAUAAUCAAAAUUAAAUGAUGUAGCACUUUUGAGAAUCAUUAAA